rnacentral:rRNA from 1 species
AACGAACGCUGGCGGCAUGCCUAACACAUGCGAGUCGAACGAGACCUUCGGGUCUAGUGGAGCACGGGUGCGUAACGCGUGGGAACCUGCCCUUAGGUUCGGAAUAACUCCCCGAAAGGGGUGCUAAUACCGGAUAAUGUCUUCGGACCAAAGAUUUAUCGCCUUUGGAUGGGCCCGCGUUGGAUUAGCUAGUUGGUAGGGUAAAAGCCUACCAAGGCGACGAUCCAUAGCUGGUCUGAGAGGAUGAUCAGCCACACUGGGACUGAGACACGGCCCAGACUCCUACGGGAGGCAGCAGUGGGGAAUAUUGGACAAUGGGCGAAAGCCUGAUCCAGCAAUGCCGCGUGAGUGAUGAAGGCCUUAGGGUUGUAAAGCUCUUUUACCCGGGAUGAUAAUGACAGUACCGGGAGAAUAAGCUCCGGCUAACUCCGUG